rnacentral:rRNA from 1 species
AACGAACGCUGGCGGCGUGCCUAACACAUGCAAGUCGAACGAGAAAGGGGCUUCGGCUCCGAGUAAAGUGGCGCACGGGUGCGUAACACGUGGGUAACCUGCCUCUAAGAUUGGGAUAACUCGUCGAAAGAUGAGCUAAUACCGAAUAAGACCACAGUUCCCGCGGGAACAGGGGUCAAAGGUAGCCUCUGCUUGCAAGCUAUCACUUCGAGAUGGGCCUGCGCACCAUUAGCUAGUUGGUAGGGUAACGGCCUACCAAGGCAAAGAUGGUUAGCUGGUCUGAGAGGAUGAUCAGCCACACUGGAACUGAGACACGGUCCAGACUCCUACGGGAGGCAGCAGUGGGGAAUAUUGCGCAAUGGGCGAAAGCUUGACGCAGCAACGCCGCGUGAGUGAUGAAGGCCUUCGGGUCGUAAAGCUCUGUCGGGAGGAACGAAUGCUCCUGAGGUUAACAGCCUCGGGAGGUGACGGUACCUUCAAAGGAAGCACCGGCUAACUCUGUG